UACGAGGGAUGCAAGCGUUAUCCGGAAUUAUUGGGCGUAAAGCGUUUGUAGGCGGGCGAGUGUGUUUAAUGUUAAAUCUUAAAGCUCAACUUUGAAAUUGCGUUAAAAACUGCUUGUCUUGAGUAUGGUAGGGGUAAAGGGAAUUCCCAGUGUAGCGGUGAAAUGCGUAGAUAUUGGGAAGAACACUAAACAGCGAAGGCACUUUACUAGGCUAAUACUGACGCUGAGAAACGAAAGGUAAGGUAGCGAAACGGAUUAGAUACCCGUGUAGUCUUACCCGUAAACUAUGGACACUAAACGGUAAAUUUUUAAUUUACUGUUAAAGCUAACGCGUUAAGUGUCCCGCCUGGGGAGUAUGCCUGCAAAAGUGAAACUCAAAGGAAUUGACGGGGGCCCGCACAAGCGGUGGAGCAUGUGGUUUAAUUCGACGGUACACGAAGAACCUUACCAGGAUUUGACAUGCUAGAUAGUUGCUUGAAAGAGUAACGUGCCGUAAGGAAUCUAGACACAGGUGGUGCAUGGCUGUCGUCAGUUCGUGUUGUGAAAUGUUGGGUUAAGUCCCGCAACGAACGCAACCCUUGUCUUUAGUUAUUUUCUAAAGAGACUGCCUGUAAUAAACAGGAGGAAGGUAAGGAUGAGGUCAAGUCAUCAUGCCCCUUAUGUCCUGGGCUACACACGUGCUACAAUGGGAAAGACAAUGAGCUGCAAAUCUGUAAAUUUAAGCAAAUCUCUUAAACUUUCUCGUAGUUCGGAUUGUGGGCUGCAACUCGCCCACAUGAAGUUGGAAUCGCUAGUAAUCGCCAGUCAGCU
rnacentral:rRNA from 1 species